rnacentral:lncRNA from 1 species
AUGAAAUUGUAUAUCAAACCAUAUUUGGAACCAACAACAUCAUCCAAGACAUUGUGUUCUCUCUUUGUGCUCUCUCUAGCACCCCAUCGUAUUGGCAGUGGAAGUAAAUGGCACAGGCAAUGCCCUGGACAUCUUCAAGGACAUAGCAGCUGCCUUCGCCAUUCUGCAGAAGGGCAGCAUCACUGUUCUCAGCAAGAAUUGUCUGAUGAAGCCUUCAGAGCCAGACCACUCAGGAUACAUGCUCAUAGGAGCGGGUGCAGCUCUUCCACAUGAGGAUUCCGUCUCUAGGUAAAGCCCUGCUGAGGUCUGUAGCCAGGAAUAGGGCAGAAGGAGAGGGACCCAGAUUCCUCCAGACACUCACAACCUGGUAAAAUGAAUGUCAAUUUCACCUAAAUCUCCCAUUCUUGAAGUCAUUUCUCAUCUUUUCACCAUGUUAGUAUUUUAACUAGUGCAUUUUUUUUUUGCACAUGCAAAUCCAAAAUAGUACAGGACUGUAACACAUUACACAUAUUUAUAGUGGAUGUGUGUACAGAAAGCUUUGACACAUCACUAAUGUUAUUACAGCAACUCGCCCAAGCCUUCCCCAUUUCUCCUUCUCCCAAAUCCAUUCAGCUGAUGUUCUGAGCUGCAAAAUCUGGACCCCUACAAAUCAGCCGGGCUAGACAAUCUGGACCAAUUCUUUCUAAAAUUAUCUGCCGAAAUUGUUGCCACCCCUAUUACUAGCCUGUUCAACCUCUCUUUCGUGUCGUCUGAGAUUCCCAAAGAUUGGAAAGCAGCUGCGGUCAUCCCCCUCUUCAAAGGGGGGGACACUCUUGACCCAAACUGCUACAGACCUAUAUCUAUCCUACCAUGCCUUUCUAAGGUCUUCGAAAGCCAAGUCAACAAAUAGAUUACCGACCAUUUCGAAU